UUCCAGGCCGUGUCAACCGGACGUGGCAGGGAUGACGAACGCGAUGGUUUUUCCGGUUUCUCAUCGCGGCCAACGAAACGGCAGUCGAGCGUCCAACCUGUCCGGCCG
rnacentral:sRNA from 20 species